rnacentral:rRNA from 1 species
AUAACCUUAUUGUGUGCCUGAAUACUAUGAUCCCAAGAUUGAAACUCAAAGGGCUUGGCUGUUCACUGUUUGAGUCAGAGGGGCAUGUAAUUUAAUACGAUGAUCCACGUUUCACCUUACCUUUCCUUGAAAGCGGGUAACCGCCCAGGUACUGCAUGGCCGUCGUAAGGAAAACAAUAAAUGCUAUCCUUAACCCUAUUAUGGAUUAAGUCAGGUGUCACGGUCCUUAUGGAAAGGGAUAUUAUGCGCUACAUUCUCCUACACAAUAUCUAUAGUAAAUUAGGAGGCAUCGACUCUCUGAAAUGGGGAUCUUAAGUUGUAUUUGAUAGUAAUCGGAAAGUAGAGCGUUCCGGUGAAUUCGAACUCAGUGUUAGCACAAAUCGCCCGUCGUCCCCUUCAAGUUAAGGAUACGAGACGCCUCGCCUUCGGCGGGGUUAUCUCUCCUUUUCGAGAGUGGGUAAGUCGUAACAUAGUAAGAGUAAGGGAACUUGUUCUUG